rnacentral:rRNA from 1 species
UACGUAGGGUGCGAGCGUUAUUCGGAAUUACUGGGCGUAAAGCGUGCGCAGGCGGUUCGUUGUGUCGGCGGUGAAAGCCCCGGGCUUAACCUGGGAAUGGCCGGUGAAACUGGCGGACUGGAGUGUGGCAGAGGGGGGUGGAAUUCCGCGUGUAGCAGUGAAAUGCGUAGAGAUGCGGAGGAACACCGAUGGCGAAGGCAGCCCCCUGGGCUAACACUGACGCUCAGGCACGAAAGCGUGGGGAGCAAACAGG